GUUGCACAAUGUCUGACAUGCCAGAAAGAGGGAAAGGAAUUAAAUAUGAAAAGCAUAAAGUUUAACCUGUAUCUUUGUGAAAGACUGAGAAUAGAACGUAGCUUCACCAGCCCAUACCACCCACAAACCAAUGGCUUGGCUGAAAAUGCUAAUAAAUCCAUAAAAAGGUAAGUGAAUGGGUGGGAAUAUUACAGUACUAAUGGCAAGUAGAGUGUGCUAUGCAAGAAGAUGCAAUUCACAAAAAAAAUCUUCAAAAGCAAUGUGUUACAUGGAAAGUCUUUUUCAUUAUAUAUUACAUCUUUUUGAUUAUGUCUGAUCUGUUUCAGUCAAGACCGUACGUGUGACUUUCUUUUUUUAAACAAACAAAUCAAUGAGCAUUUGUUACAGAGCAUUGCGGAGAUGGUUGAUGACAAUGGGAGUAAUUGGGAUCAAUUACAUUACCCCAUUUUGUUUUCUUUGCCAACUAAAGUACACACAACAACAACAAUGUCACCCUUUCGACUAAUAUUUUGUGCUGACCCAGUGUUUCCAGAAGAAGUCUCAGAGAAUUACAUGAUCCCAGAUAUAAAUAUAUUUGGGGAAGAUUUCUGCAAAAAGUACAGCAUCAAUAUGAAAUGGAGACAUGAUGCUGACAUUGCACUGGCCCUAAGCACAAGAAAAACAACAAAGACAUUAUGCUAAAAGAAAGAAUUCUAAAUAUGGUCAAAUAACAUUUGAUGUUGGGGACUCUGUUCUGUUACUGAAUGCUAGAAAGAGAACAAGAAAAGGAGGAGUGCUGGAACCUAGCUACGACUGUUGAGGGUAAGAGUGAAAUUACAAACCAUCUCAGGGAAAUGGUUAGGAACCAUGUACAGUACCACACACUUAAAACCAUUUAAAGAGUCACUAACAUUAGCUGCUGAAAGUACAUCAGAGGGAAAAAUCGGAACUGAAAUUGCAGUUGGUGACACUGAACCAGAAACACCCACAGAAGAGAUUAGAAAAGUGGAUGGCACUGUAUCUCACGACAGCACAGUAAAAAACAAAGAGGUCACAGCAAUGGAAGAAGAGGAGUAUAUAGGGCAAAACAAUGAUACAAGUUAUGCAGAUGACAAUUUUGAUGACAUGCUUAUGGAAGACAAGCAAUGGAUUCUGAAAGUCAUAUUUGUAAUGACCAGCAAACACACAGAGAGACUGGAGGCCAAAGUGAGAAACAUAAAAUUGUAUGGCUCUUCAUUUCGUGAGAAACAUAAAAUUGUAUGGCUCUUCAUUUCAUUGCCUGAAGCCGAGAAGCUGGAUGAGUGA
rnacentral:lncRNA from 1 species